rnacentral:rRNA from 1 species
CAGCAGCCACGGGAACACGUAGGGUGCGAGCGUUAAUCGGAAUUACUGGGCGUAAAGCGUGCGCGGGCGGUUAUAUAAGACAGAUGUGAAAUCCCCGGGCUCAACCUGGGACCUGCAUUUGUGACUGUAUAGCUAGAGUACGGUAGAGGGGGAUGGAAUUCCGCGUGUAGCAGUGAAAUGCGUAGAUAUGCGGAGGAACACCGAUGGUGAAGGCAAUCCCCUGGACCUGUACUGACGCUCAUGCACGAAAGCGUGGGGAGCAAACAGGAUUAGAUACCCGCGUAGUCCCUGUCUCUUAUAC